rnacentral:rRNA from 1 species
AUGUGGUUUAAUUCGAAGCAACGCGAAGAACCUUACCAGGUCUUGACAUCCGAUGCUAUUCUAGAGAUAGAAAGUUACUUCGGUACAUCGGUGACAGGUGGUGCAUGGUUGUCGUCAGCUCGUGUCGUGAGAUGUUGGGUUAAGUCCCGCAACGAGCGCAACCCCUAUUGUUAGUUGCCAUCAUUCAGUUGGGCACUCUAAUGAGACUGCCGGUGACAAACCGGAGGAAGUGGGGAUGACGUCAAGUCCUCAUGGCCCUUAUAGGUGGGGCUACACACGUCAUACAAUGGAUGGUACAAAAGGUCGCCAACCCGCGAGGGGGAGCCAAUCCCAUAAAGCCAUUCGUAGUCCGGAUCGCAGUCUGCAACUCGACUGCGUGAAGUCGGAAUCGCUAGUAAUCGUGGAUCAGAAUGUCACGGUGAAUACGUUCCCGGGUCUU